AGGGCCAAAGCUUAAUUACUAUUCCCUGUCCUUUUCACCCUUACAGGUCAUGGCAAACUCGCCAGCAUGCCAGUUGGUGGAGCUGUAGCAGUCUCAGCUGCUGCAGGUUCUGCUGCUCCUGCUGCUAGCACUGCUCCUGCUGCUGCUGAGGAGAAGAAAGAAGAGAAGAAAGAGGAGUCUGAGGAAUCGGAUGAUGACAUGGGAUUUGGCCUAUUUGACUAAACUUUGCUACAGAAGUUAUUAAAUCUUUUUGUUUAAAAUGGA